CUCCGUGACUCCUACGGGAGGCAGCAGUGGGGAAUAUUGCACAAUGGGCGCAAGCCUGAUGCAGCAACGCCGUGUGAGUGAAGAAGGUUUUCGGAUCGUAAAACUCUGUCCUAAGGGAAGAAACAAAUGACGGUACCUUAGGAGGAAGCCCCGGCUAACUACGUGCCAGCAGCCGCGGUAAUACGUAGGGGGCAAGCGUUAUCCGGAAUCACUGGGCGUAAAGGGUGCGUAGGCGGUUUUUCAAGUCAGAAGUGAAAGGCUAUGGCUCAACCAUAGUAAGCUUUUGAAACUGUUAAACUUGAGUGCAGGAGAGGAAAGUGGAAUUCCUAGUGUAGAGGUGAAAUUCGUAGAUAUUAGGAGGAACACCAGUGGCGAAGGCGACUUUCUGGACUGUAACUGACGCUGAGGCACGAAAGCGUGGGGAGCGAACAGGAUUAGAUACCCUGGUAA
rnacentral:rRNA from 1 species